UUGUAGUAAUUUGACGUAUUGUUGAAAAAAGUAGGUCAAGUUAGAGCAGAGAAAAUAAAUGAUAGUCACAAAAAAAUAUCUUCUCAGCUUUGCAUCGAAGCGAAAACUUAAAAUAUAGUAAAAUAAUUUUAAUACGAAUAAGAAAUUUCUUCUUGCAAGGGGCGACUAAAGUGAUGGGAUCCUUGAUCUUUAUUGAAGUUAUUGAAUCUAAAUGUGAUAAAAAUCAAACGAGUUAAAAAUUUUACUAACUUAAAAAGAAUUAAGAAAAAAUGCAAAAAAUUCAUUGCCAUACGCGGGUUGGAACCUCGUACCCCAAGCGUGUAAAACAUAAAUUUUACCAACUCGGCAACCGUACGUUGCUUCCGGCGGUUGAAAAAUUGGCUAUUUAAGCUAGUUCAAAUUUCAAAGUUAUUUUUCUCGACUUAAAAGAAACAAACAUAUUUAAAUAAGUUUAACUAUCUAUACUAUAUCAAUUUUAAUUUAUAUAAUAUUUAUGAAAAUCUGUACUCCCCUUGUCAGGUAUUUUAAAAUAAAAUAAAAUACAAAACCCAGAAUUUUAACACAAAAAUAGCAUAUUUUUGCAUACGGUAGUCAUUUUUACCAUGAAGACAAAUCCAGAGGUCAAAUUUUUUUUUUUCACAUUAAAGUAUAUUACAUAAGCUUUAAUUUAAGAUAUAUUUAAAAGUGUCAGUAUUUCCGGAAUACUUUCAAAAAUUAAAUUGAAAAUAUCGUAGUAACAAUACGCAUGUUUAAAGUUUUGACCCCCCUUGUUAAAGGGGUAUGAUCCGAUUUACAAAAAAAGCGUGCCAGAUGAAAGGGGUAUAUCAAUAUUUAUUAUAAAAAAAUAAUAAUAUAGAUCCAUACAUUUUUCCAAAAGUUAUAUAAAAUAUAAAUUAAAUAAUAUAACAUAUAAAAUCGAGAUUUUUUUCACGGAAAUCGUACGUUUUUCUUUAACUUUGAUGUCCGUUUUCACCACGAAGACAAGUCCAGAGGUCAAAUUUUUUUUUUUCAAAUUAAAGUAUAUUACAUUAGCUUUAAUUUAAGGUAUAUAUAAAAUUGUCAGUCUUUCCGGAACAUUUUCAAAAGUUAAGUUGAAAAAGUUAAUUUUUUGUAAAAAAGUUACCAUUUUGAAACCCCAUCCUUUGGGCUGUUAAAGGGUCAAA